AAGUUAUACUAUGCUGAUGCAAAGCUGAUGUUGACAAUGUGGUUUUCAUCCUGCAGUUCUGGGGGAUGGCGUGAACAUUUUUACCUGUGGUAUCUGAGGGCUACUGCCUGUUGGGCAGAUCAGAACUGAGACCUGGCAUCAGCUGUUUUCUGCAGGAAGCCAUAUGUGGCAACAAGAAGAAGGAGGCAUAAUCCCUGUUAUCUCUGUUGGCAAAGUCAACAUCAGGGAGAGUUCUUUCUGCAGUCAAUCAGGGAUCAAGCAAACUGGUGAGAAGAGUGUAGAUGAACAGAUGUAAGUAUCUGUAGAGUGAAAAGAAGACUGAGAGAAGAAACAUGCAAGGAACAAAGAAGAAAGACAACUGCCACCCAAAAUGGAGCAACUGGAAAACUUUGCAUCAGCGUGGAAGACUACACUGAAAAAUGCCUUAACAGUCAGAGUUUCCAUGAGUGCCCUCACAGACCCUGAGUCACACUUGAGGCAGCCUCUCCAGGCUUUGAGUAUGUCAUCUACAGUAUAAAUGAAAUAAAGGUAAAGACUAUUAGAAACUAUACGUAAUC
rnacentral:lncRNA from 1 species